rnacentral:rRNA from 1 species
UCGAGGAUCUUCCGCAAUGGGCGAAAGCCUGACGGAGCGACGCCGCGUGCGCGAUGAAGGCCUUCGGGUUGUAAAGCGCUGUCGAGGGGGAGGAAAGCCGGGUUACACCGGUAUGACCUAUCCCUGGAGGAAGCUCGGGCUAAGUUCGUGCCAGCAGCCGCGGUAAGACGAACCGAGCGAACGUUGUUCGGAAUCACUGGGCUUAAAGGGCGCGUAGGCGGAUCUCUUAGUCCGGGGUGAAAUCGUUCGGCUUAACCGGACAAUGGCCUUGGAAACGGGAGAUCUUGAGGGAGGUAGGGGCAUGUGGAACUUCCGGUGGAGCGGUGAAAUGCGUUGAGAUCGGAAGGAACGCCGGUGGCGAAAGCGACGUGCUGGACCUCUUCUGACGCUGAGGCGCGAAAGCCAGGGGAGCAAACGGGAUUAGAUACCCCCGUAGUCC